rnacentral:ncRNA from 1 species
AAUCUUCAGGGCGUUGUGUAAGUCAACACCGGCGGUAAAGCCCGCGAGCGAGUAAUCGCAUGAUCUGGUUAGAUUCCAGAGCCGACAGUAUAGUCUGGAUGGGAGAAGA